UACAGAGGUCUCAAGCGUUGUUCGGAAUCACUGGGCGUAAAGGGUGUGUAGGCGGUGUGCUAAGUCAGAUGUGAAAGCCCGGGGCUCAACCUCGGAACUGCAUCCGAUACUGGCAUGCUAGAGAAUUGGAGAGGAGUCUAGAAUUCACGGUGUAGCAGUGAAAUGCGUAGAUAUCGUGAGGAAUACCAAGUGCGAAGGCAGGACUCUGGACAUUUUCUGACGCUGAGACACGAAGGCCAGGGGAGCAAACGGG
rnacentral:rRNA from 2 species